UCACUGGAGACUAAACAAGUAGGGAGACAACCUACAGAACCGGUCAUUCGACCUCCAAAGACAAUACAUGUGCCACAGACUUCAGCAUUUUCUGGGACUAAAGUGAUAGUGACUCAGGCUUCUAAUUCCUCUGUGAAUCCUCACAAUCUGGUGACAAAUCCAAUGAAGACCAACAAAGGUAUCACCAUCCCCUCCCCCUCUACCACUUCAUUGUCUGCAGCACUAUCAUCUGUUACCACGACAACCACAGCCAUUCCUAUAGCAAAAGUACCCCCUGUGAGACAGCCCCCAUUAUCCUUGGCCCCCCACACGGUCAGCUCCUCCCUAUCUGUCACCCCCAGCACCCUUGAGAGGCCGAGACUGGAGCCCUCUAACCCAGGGACAGCUCCCCCCGCCCACACAUCAACAACUAGCAUCUUCAUGCCUCACCGAACUCAGCCAAGUACCUCUCUAACAGCACCUUCAACACUUACUCACACUGAAAGGCCAGCCCUUUCCAAUCCAAUUUAUCCGUACUUGCUUCCGGCGGAUUACUUGAUGCACUACCAAAUGCAGGCACUGGCGAACGUGCAUACCCUCCCAACUAUAUCCACAGCAUCUACCAUACGACCAGGGCUAUUGCAAAAUCAAACUCCAAAUUUAACAGCCUCCUUGCAAGCAGCACACACGUAUUCUGGGACCCCGGGGGCAGCGGUGAGAUUUAAUCAGACACAGCCGGUUGUGGUUGCGAUGGAGUCGAUCAGGGCCCAGCAAGCACUGUCCGGGAACCUCCCGUUCACAGCUUCCGCAACUGUUCCAGAAUCCUCUGCGCGCCCCACCACCCCCACGGACAGUCUGAGCACGCUGUCCUCGGCCUCUGCCGCAGCCGCUUCUAUCCCUAUCCCUGCCCUGACAGUGAUGGGGCAGUGUAAUCCCUCGGCCAAUUAUCCAUCCACACCCAUGACCCCUCAGAAUUCUCAAUCCACAAGCAAUACCCCUGUGAGCACCCCCAAUGCCUCUCCACGGCCAAGUAUCCUGAGAAAGAGAACCAAUGAAGGACCUGUAAAGAAACCAGUUUGUGGUUUGAACACCAUGGACAGACACAGUCCUCGUCCAGAUUCUAGGACAGACUCUGCCCCUCAGUCCAACACCAGCUCUCCUAAAACUCCAGCUACUCCCGCAGGGGAGAGUCAGUCGUCUACAGAUACAGCUCUAUCCAGUGAGGCCACAACACCCACUCAAAAUAAUAUGGCCGAACUCAAAAUAAAACAGGAGCCCAUGGAGGGCUUAGAAAAUGGUCUAUCAGCAGCCAUCAGUAGCAGCAUUGCCUCUCUGUCCAAUUCUCUCCCCAACAGCACAGAUGCUUCACCCAGGAAGAAACCACGCAAACAAUUACUAAAUGCCAAUGAGGAGCUAAAGGAUGCUGUGUCCUCUGAUGAGGAGGAGAAAUUGGCUGUGGACUCGGUUAAAGAGGAGGAGGAGGACACACAGUCCGAAUACAGAGAAGAAUAUGUGGAUGACGAGGGAAUACGGUGGACGAUAGAAAAAUGUCGACCCAACGUAUCCCUGAUGAACUUCUAUAGUAUAUCCUGGAAACCUAGAAAUAAUCAUUUUAACAGACACACAGACAUUAAACCGAAAGAGGAAAGGCGACCUACAGUAAAUGAAUUAGCCAACCAGAAAGGAGCCGUCCAGAAGGCUAGCGGCUGGAAACUGUAUCAUAUGGCAGCUCAGAUGGAGGAUCUUAAUGAUCUGGAGAAAACUUUACUGAGCAAAUUCUCAACGAUUCAGUCUGCUUUAUCACCCCGCCCACAGAACAAACUCAGUGUAGUGUCAAUGGAGGAUGAGUUGAGCAUGAUGCACGAGUUGACUCAGGCGAAUAUUCAGAGAUGCAAACUUAUUAUGGAUCAGCUUGAGGAAUCCAAAGCCAAUAUGUUGAAAGUGCUAGAACAUAAACAAAAAAUUUCAGAAAUAAUUAAUAAGCAUGUCAGUAAAAGACCAAUCAAAAAGAAAGAGAGGUCUUAGCAUUGACCAAUCAUUGGAGAACAAAUAUAUAAAUUCGACCAACCAAUGAAGAGAAAAAAAGAAAUUAACAGUGCUGAAUCGUGUCAACUUGAUGGAGAUUUACAUGAACUGUUUAUGGUUGUAGUUCCUGCGGUCUAAGAACUAAGCUUUUAUGUUCGAUAUUUCUGGUCGUUUUUAGUCACUGUUUUUAUAAAUGAUAGAAGUGGACCUGGUUCACUUCUUUGUUAGCAGCUGUUUGUCCUGUUAUACAUUAUUGCAAAUUAUUUACCUUUUUCAACCUCAUGUUUUGCAUUACGACUGAAAGCUAUGUCAAUAUUUUUCAUUUUAUUUAUUUGUUUCAUGAGUGAAUACAGACAUUAUUUGCCAUUCAUAAGUUGAGGGAAAAUGUUUCCUUAAUGAAGUAGCUAAACAUAAGGCUUACCACUAUAGAUUCUCAGUUGUUUGAGAAUUACUUGCGCAUUAGAGACAUAUUUUGACAUGGAGCAAAACAUUGUACAUCUCUAUAUAUUCAUUUAUCAUGAAAAAUUAAUAAAUUGAGAUGAAAAAAUU
rnacentral:misc_RNA from 1 species